GGUCAGGUGGCCGAGUGGUUAUGGCGCUGUGUUCAGGAAUUCGUGUCUUGAACGUCGCAGUGGGCAACCGCAUGGGUUCGAAUCCCAUCCUGAUCA